rnacentral:rRNA from 1 species
UACGGGGGGGGCAAGCGUUGUUCGGAAUUACUGGGCGUAAAGGGCUCGUAGGCGGCCAACUAAGUCAGACGUGAAAUCCCUCGGCUUAACCGGGGAACUGCGUCUGAUACUGGAUGGCUUGAGUUUGGGAGAGGGAUGCGGAAUUCCAGGUGUAGCGGUGAAAUGCGUAGAUAUCGGAAGGAAGACCAGUGGCGAAGGCGGGUCUCUGGACAGUUCCUGACGCUGAGGCACGAAGGUCAGGGGAGCAAACGGG